UUCCCAUCGCGUGGAUUGUCUACGACAGUAUAACGAGCACCACAAGCCCGGGUUUAUUUAGAGUUUGCUCUCCUAGGCAGAUUGCCUACCACGGCUGACGACCUCCACCUGCCCGGGUUUAUUGUUCGGAGUUUGCUCUCCUAGGUGAAUUGCCUACCACGGCUAACGACCUCCACCUGCCCGGGUUUGUUGUUCGGAGUUUGCUCUCCUAGGUGAAUUGCCUACCACGGCUAACGAGCCUCACCUGCCCGGGUUUGUUUAGAGUUUGCUCUCCUAGGUGAAUUGCCUACCACGGCUAACGAGCCUCACCUGCCCGGGUUUGUUUAGAGUUUGCUCUCCUAGGUGAAUUGCCUACCACGGCUAACGACCUCCACCUGCCCGGGUUUAUUGUUCGGAGUUUGCUCUCCUAGGUGAAUUGCCUACCACGGCUAACGAGCCUCACCUGCCCGGGUUUGUAUAGAGUUUGCUCUCCUAGGUGAAUUGCCUACCACGGCUAACGAGCCUCACCUGCCCGGGUUUGUAUAGAGUUUGCUCUCCUAGGUGAAUUGCCUACCACGGCUAACGAGCCUCACCUGCCCGGGUUUGUAUAGAGUUUGCUCUCCUAGGCAGAUUGCCUACCACGGCUAACGACCUCCACCUGCCCGGGUUUGUAGCCGGAAGAUCUCCGGCACCUCCAUCGGGGCCCCGAGGGACGCCGAGGAGCCCUGCCUGAGCCCUCCAUUCCUGCUAUGCUCGCCAGGGAGACCUUGGGCUCGCUGGCGCUCCACACCCCCGCCGAGGCGAGGAUGCAAGAACUCGCUUCUUAAAACUACCAGACUGGAUUAUAAAAUUAAUCAUAAUUACUGUGAAGGCGCCGGUCACCGCGUUUAUCGGUUCAGGGAUGGAAGACCGACGGGCCUGGGAAACGCGCACAAGCAUCCAAAGGAAUCCUCGCGACGGCUUGCGACGCAGCAUCCGUUUCCCUUUUCUUUCUCAUUCCAAUUUUUCUUUUUUAUUAUAUUUUCCUUCUCUGA